CCGGUACCUUUAGAAGUUGCAAACAACGAACGUUUUUAUUUACAGAAUCUACUAAUUUUCUGAUCGCUUCGGAUGAUUCUGUUUUGCAGUAUGGAGAAGUUCCCAUGCUACAGUAUAGUUAUCAUCGGAAAGCGUGAUACUCUGAAUGAUUCUUAGGGCUUCAUCGGAUAAUGUUGAUUUUAAAUAUUGAAAUUUCUGCACCUUAGAAAGAUUUGAGUUACUAUCUAUAAUUGCUGAAAAGCUGUCACGAAACUCCAACCACAUAUUCAUGUCACCAUUAAACUUUGAGGUUGACGGCAAGACAUUUUCGAUGGAAGAAAUAGCUUUUGCUUUAGAAACUGAUGAAUAAAAUAAAGUUUCAAAUUCAUUAAGCUCUUCUACAUUAUUUGUAGAAGU